UCUCGGUAUCUGUAUUCAUACUAAGAAGGA
rnacentral:piRNA from 2 species